rnacentral:rRNA from 1 species
UACGUAGGGGGCAAGCGUUGUCCGGAAUCAUUGGGCGUAAAGAGCGUGUAGGCGGUCCGGUCAGUCGGUUGUGAAAGUCAAGGGCUCAACCCUUGAAUGCCGGCCGAUACUGCCGGGCUAGAGUCCGGAAGAGGUGAGUGGAAUUCCUGGUGUAGCGGUGAAAUGCGCAGAUAUCAGGAGGAACACCGAUGGCGAAGGCAGCUCGCUGGGACGGUACUGACGCUGAGGCGCGAAAGCGUGGGGAGCAAACAGG